rnacentral:rRNA from 1 species
GGGCUGCAGUGAGGAAUUUUGCGCAAUGGGGGAAACCCUGACGCAGCAACGCCGCGUGAGUGAUGAAGGCCUUCGGGUCGUAAAGCUCUGUCAAGUGGGAAGAACCUGUAAACGGUCAACACCCGUUUACACUGACGGUACCACUGAAGGAAGCACCGGCUAACUCCGUGCCAGCAGCCGCGGUAAUACGGGGGGUGCAAGCGUUACUCGGAAUCAUUGGGCGUAAAGGGCGCGUAGGCGGCCUGGUAAGUCAGGUGUGAAAGCCCGGGGCUUAACCCCGGAAGUGCAUUUGAUACUGCCAGGCUUGAGUAUGGGAGAGGGAAGUGGAAUUCCUGGUGUAGAGGUGAAAUUCGUAGAUAUCAGGAGGAACACCGGUGGCGAAGGCGACUUCCUGGACCAAUACUGACGCUGAGGCGCGAAGGCGUGGGGAGCAAACAGGAUUAGAUACCCCUGUAGUC